GGAAGUAAAAGUCGUAACAAGAUUUCCGUAGGUGAACCUGCGGAAGGAUCAUUACCGAAUUGUCAACAAGAGUUGUUGCUGGUCUUCAAAACGAGGGCAUGUGCACGCUCUGUUUACACAUCCACUCACACCUGUGCACUUUCUGUAGUUCUAUAGUUGGGGAGGCCCUGCCUUCCUUCUGUAGUCCUAUGUCCCUUCACACACACACUCAGUGAUAAAGUCUCGUGGAAUGUAUGCCGCGUUUAACGCAAUACAAUACAACUUUCAGCAACGGAUCUCUUGGCUCUC
rnacentral:misc_RNA from 1 species